GCUCGGUUGGUGGGAACCCGAAUCUUGGCCUUUCGAGCCGAGGACCAGGGUUCAAAUCCCUGACCGAGCA
rnacentral:tRNA from 1 species